ensembl:lncRNA
GCUGCAGCCUGUGGGACUUGCACGGGGCUGAGCUGGGCUGGGGGGAGUCCCUGCACCCCCAAAACCCCGAGGAGCCUUUGGAGAGGACAGGACUGAGCCCGCCAAGGAAGCCAAGGACUCCGAGAACUGUGCUGCUGCCUCAGAACUGAGCCCGCCGAGGAAACCAAGAGCUCUGCUGCUGCCUCUGCUGCAGCCCAGGCUCUCUGCAGGGCCAGCCCCUGACAGCAGCACCAUCUCUGAUUCAGAUACACUGGAUUUAUCCCGGUUCCCUGCUAAGCAGGUGGCAAAUUGCUUCUGUGCAGAAGUGCCCCUGUCCUGUCUGUGUGCCACACGCUCGUGUUUGUUCCACAGUUCUUCAAAAGUCUGUCUUGGAAGAAGGUUUGAGGAAGCGUUCCAGAGGAGUAGCUCAUGAAAAGAUGGAAGUGAGUGAAAAUGAAGUGGUUUGUUCCAAAGAAUUUCUCCAUUGCACAGGGUAUGUCCCAUGCUUUGUUGAACGUCCCACAAGCCCAAUUUUAGGGAAAAUAUAAAGCUACAUUCAGGAAACCAAGCUGUAAUUAUUUUUUUGAGUUGUCAGAAACCAUGAUGAGAAAAAUUAUGCAAUCAUUUGUAAUUGGCUGUCCCUGAAAAACGACAAAAGGCUUAACACUGUCCCAGCAAAAAGUUCUGGAAAAGACUGAACUAAACCAGAUUAUCCCUGAUCCACAUUCACUGGGCUGGGAGAGGGAACAGGUGUCCUCACCUGGAAGGUGUCCUCACCUCAGCAAAAGCGAGCACAAGUCCCACAGAGCCCGAGCCUGGGAGGCUGGCACAGGAACCAGGAAGGAAAAAGAAUCCUCUAGAAAAACAGGAGAAGAGGGGAAACCCCAGAAGAAAUUCCACAGUGUGAUUGACCACAUUGGAUCCACAGCCGAGCACAGAAAUGCAGGGCUGUGGGGCAAGGCCAGGGAUGAGGAACAAGGCCAGGUAUGGAGGUCAAAGCCAGGACCAAGGCCAGGAGCGAGGUGCUGCCACCAGCCAGGGUCCCAUGUGCCCAUUCCCUGGGAGCACGGGCAGGAAGGGACCAGAGCUCUGGACAGGUACCUGCGCUGCUGGAGUUUAUAAAGCUAUGAAGAAAACCCCUGGAUACUGAAAUUCUUCAACCUCUUCCUGCCCUUGUACAUCGACAGAGUUUUAACCCAGCACUGGGAGCUCAGCUGCAGGAACACAAGGAAGGGAUUUGGUCAGAGAAGUGUGGCAUUUGAACCAGAGGGAUGCAACGUUUUAAGGCCAAGGUUGUGGAUGUUGAUAUCAGCAUACAAUUCUAUCAUGGAAUUGAUUUAACAAGCUCCAAUUCUACCAGAUACCAAUGCCAGUGCUGGCAUUCUGGGAUGAGCUGCAUUUUUGCUUCUGCAUUUCAUGCCUAAACGAGUUCAUUUUGAGUUCCACUGAAAUACUUCAUGUCUUAAAAUACUGUAUUCACUGCAGGUGGUGGCUGAGGUGACAAAGGGCACGUUAGGAAGGGGCUUGAGUCCAUCUCAUGGCUCUUCAUUGGGGAUGUGCUCUUGCCCGGUGUGUCCGUGUGUCUCAAAUACCGGUUCUGUUUUCCCAUUAACUUCCUUGAUCCUGGGGGUUUUACGUACAAAGCCAAUUGUACAGGACAGGUCUGUGUGUAAAUAGGGGAUUGUGCUUAUCUAUAUGUCACUAUAAAUAUGUAUGAAGUUUUGUACAUAGGAAAGAGAAAACGGCUCAAAGAAUGUUUUCA